AUUGAACGCUGGCGGCAGGCCUAACACAUGCAAGUCGAACGAGUGGCGGACGGGUGAGUAAUGUCUGGGAAACUGCCCGAUGGAGGGGGAUAACUACUGGAAACGGUAGCUAAUACCGCAUACCAUCGGAUGUGCCCAGAUGGGAUUAGCUAGUAGGUGGGGUAACGGCUCACCUAGGCGACGAUCCCUAGCUGGUCUGAGAGGAUGACCGGCCACACUGGAACUAGACAACGGUCAAGAUCCCAACGGAAGGCAGCAGUGGGGAAUAUUGCACAAUGGGGGAAAGCCUGAUGCAGCCAUGCCGCGUGUAUGAAGAAGGCCUUCGGGUUGUAAAGUACUUUCAGCGAGGAGGCGUUACUCGCAGAAGAAGCACCGGCGAACUCCGUGCCAGCAGCCGCGGUAAUA
rnacentral:rRNA from 1 species